rnacentral:rRNA from 1 species
AGCAGCCGCGGUAAUUCCAGCUCCAAUAGCGUAUAUUAAAGUUGCUGCAGUUAAAAAGCUCGUAGUUGAAUUUCGGGACCAUCACGUCGGUCGUGCCUCGGUACGUACUGGCGUCGUUGGUUUCUCCCUUCUGACGAACCAUGAUGUCAUUUAUUUGGUGUCGUGGGGAAUCAGGACUAUUACUUUGAAAAAAUUAGAGUGUUUAAAGCAGGCUCACGCUUGAAUACAUUAGCAUGGAAUAACGAAAUAGGACGUUUGAUUCUAUUUUGUUGGUUUCUAGGAUCGACGUAAUGAUUAAUAGGGAUAGUUGGGGGCAUUAGUAUUCAAUUGUCAGAGGUGAAAUUCUUGGAUUUAUUGAAGACUAACUACUGCGAAAGCAUUUGCCAAGGAUGUUUUCAUUAAUCAAGAACGAAAGUUAGGGGAUCGAAGACGAUCAGAUACCGUCGUAGUCUUAACCAUAAACUAUGCCGACUAGGGAUCGGAUGAUGUUAAUUUUUUAAUGUACUCAUUCGGCGCCUUA